rnacentral:lncRNA from 1 species
GUAGAAGUAACUUUGAAGAGAAUUGUUUCGAAAUUCUAACAAGAUCUUCAAUCAACCUCCCAUCAUGAAAUUUUUUCUGGCUUUGUUGUUGGCUUCUGCUGUAGUGGCAUGUAAUGCUGUUCCUCCAAUUAUGGGUACCUAUGGAGGUGUGAUGACGCAAAGAACAUACGUUGAUCCAGUGACUGGAUAUAGCACUAGAACUAUGACUCAUACUGGUUAUGUACCCGCAAUGGGUGGAAUGCCUAUUAAUUCAAUGGCUGUGACUGGUUACGGAAAAAAAUAAAGGAAGAAUCAAAAAUGAUGAUCCACCAACUCCGAGAUGCCCCGCUCUUGGAUUUGAUUAAACUUGAUGGAUUAUUAUUGUUAAUUUCGUAAUAAAUUGCUGCA